rnacentral:lncRNA from 1 species
AAAAACUAUACACAGUAUUUUUCUCAUCCCAAGAAUAAUUUCAUAGUAGAGAUACCAAACCCAGAUGCGCGCAAAGUUAAUGUCUCAUCCCAAAUUCUAUUCCACUCCACUCCAUUCCAAUCCUCUUCAAUCUUUAUCAACAAACACCAACGAUCGCAUUCGUGCACUAAAAUUACUGAACUAAACACCAAAAGUUUAGAACGCAAUAAUAAAAACCACUAUAUAUAUAAAAACCAGAUCUCACUUUAAAAGCAACCGUUACCACUCGAUCUCGGUGACCUGAGUUGAGAAUGAGAUGCAGCAACCGAAUCUGUUCCCUAUUGGAAGUUUUUUAGGGAAUCCUUUCAUUUUCAAUGGCGACGAUUUGAGUGACGGAAUCGAAGGUUCUAGGGUUUUCUUUUUGCUUCCUUUCUUAUUGCUCUCUCAAGGUGGAGCUAUGGAUUUUUCAAAGGUCGGUGAAAAGAUCUUGAGUUCAGUUAGGUCCGCUAGAUCGAUGGGAUUGAUUCCUCCACUCUCUGAUCGCCCUGAGGUUCCAGCUCGAGCUGCUGCUGCAGCUGCUGUAGCUCGUGCUCUCGCAGGAUUGCCUCCUCACCAGAGGUAUAGUCUUUCAUCAAGUUCAGAAGAACUGGGUUCAAUAUAUGGAAGCAGACCUUAUGGUGAAGUAUAAAAUUAAGAAUAAUGUAAUUAAAGAACUUCCAUUCUCUAUUUGGUUUUAACAUCAUAAGGUAAGAAUAUAUUUCAAAAUAUAUAUGACCAACAGAUUUCUAGGACAUGAAAAAAGAAAGACAUCAGUAGUGGAUUAUAAUAGACCUGUAACAUGUCUAGCACUGCAAAGUUCUACAUUAAAAUACAUAACAACAACAGAGAUUGUAC